GUGGAAAUUUCCAUUUCUCCUAUUCUACUCUAUCACUCUUUCUCUCUUUCAUGGCGACUAAUCGUGUAUGUUCUGUUGCUGUAUAUAUCGACCAGAAAUUAAGAACAGCUGCCAUUUUACCUACAGUGCACUAUAUGCAGCAUUCAAUUUGAAAUAGUUGAUAAGAUUACGUUUACAACAGGAUUUCACCAUGAAAGUACCUCAACAGAAAUGUGCCCUUUCUGAGUUAGCUAUGGACGACUGUGACAGGAGAGCUAGACCUUGUGUUUACCAAAGUGAUGAACAUAAUCAUAAUCAAGACGUUGAGACUGAUUCUGAUCACAGUUCAUUCAGCGCUUGGUCAAGUAUACCAAUUGUGAACGAUCCUAUAAUAUACCCACGGACACAACAAACAUACAACUCCAGCAUAUUGCCAGAUAUCCACACUCAAAGGACGCUUUUCGAGAGACCUUAUAUUGUUACUUUAAAUUUGCAUCAAAACUGGUCUACAACAUCUGUGCGAACUUUGCCGAAUCUCAGAACCAGUUUAGAACAUUUGGUAACAGAGGAUAGUAGUGAUGAGCAGAGUAAUCAUGAACUACAACAGGGAAUUGGUUCAUGUAGUGAACCAGCUGUCCCACAUCCUGCUAACCCGUUUUGGGAUUCUGAGGAGUAGAAUGAACCCCUGACACAUCAUAUAAAUACAUAUUUAUUUUUGUAUUUCAUUUUUGUGCUGAUGUUUUAAUAAUUCAUCUUCACUUGAAACAACCCAAUCAUGUUAUGAUGUGCUGAAAUAAGUGCAGUUAACAGACGGAGAUCAGUAUUUAUAUUCGAAAGCAGAAACCUGAUCAUAUGCCAUCUAUUAUGUUUAAAGAAACAACGUUCAAUAGUAAAGAAUUUAUUUGUAAAUAAAGUAAUAAUGAUAAAUUGUU